GAUGAAGAACGCAGCGAAAUGCGAUAAGUAAUGUGAAUUGCAGAAUUCAGUGAAUCAUCGAAUCUUUGAACGCACAUUGCGCCCAUUAGUAUUCUAGUGGGCAUGCCUGUUCGAGCGUCAUUUCAACCCUUAAGCCUAGCUUAGUAUUGGGAAUCGACUUUACUGUCGUUCCUCAAAUUCAACGGCGGAUUUAUAGCAAUCUCUGAACGUAGUAAUUUUUUUCCUCGUUUUUGAAAUACUAUAAACCUCAGCCGCUAAACCCCCAAUUUUUCUAUGGUUGACCUCGGAUCAGGUAGGAAUACCCGCUGAACUUAAGCAUAUCAAUAGCGGAGGA
rnacentral:misc_RNA from 1 species